UUGCUUGAUAGAGGUGCGGGAUUCAUCAGUAAUGAUCGGCGACAGCUUGGGAAGCUGCCGGACAUGAAAGGGGAGACCGCCGAAGAAAAUGUAAUAUCCCAAGUACAUUUUCUGGGGCGUGGCAGAAUAUGCUGCGAACUGUCACAUCGGUGGAGCGCUAUCAGAGUA
rfam:Dorea formicigenerans CAG:28 genomic scaffold, scf145